rnacentral:lncRNA from 1 species
GAAUUUUACAUUGUCUUUUGUUAAAUUCUAUUUGUUAUUGUUAUAUUCAUCUUUGCCUGAAACAAUAGGAAAAACUGCAUAUAAACUAUAAAACUUUUUAAAUUGUGCAUCUAAAGGGAUUUCCAAUAUUUGCCUCUAUCAGGAACACUCAAAACAAAAACGAAAAACAUACAAGGAUGUAUAAAUACCGCAAUUCAUCAUGCAGGCUCAAUUCAAUGUAUGCAUAUCUUUUCUGAUUAUAUUGCUUUUAAUGUGUUUGUAUAUUUGAAUAGAGGACAAACAUUUGUACAAUAUUGAGAUACAAAAGGUUUUUUUUUUAACUUUAUUUCUUUGAAAAUUAUUUGUUCUAUCAGAAGGGGAAUAGCAUUAACUCCAAAAUAGAAAUACCGUGUUACAAAGUUGAAAUAUUAAAAUUGUAUCUAAAAGGGGGAAAGGUCGAUCUUUAUUAAAAGAAAUAAUAGGAAUAUUAUACACUUUUAUAAAAACAAAGAUUAUAGGACAUUCACUAUCUCACCUUAUAACCAUUGAUCUUCAAUGUCAGAUUUUUUUUUUUUUAUUAAAAUGAAUAAGCAGCCAC